UCAUUGGCCAGCAGCUAGCUCUCUGCAACUCUCACAUGGUCGCCCACUGAAGCGAAGCAGGGCUGAGCCAGGUCAGUACCUGGAAGGGAGACCACAUGGGAAAACUACAGUUAGUGAG
rnacentral:rRNA from 1 species